GUAAGAAUCUUUUUUCCAAGUGCUGGAUAUCCAUCCCCAGCAGCUCCAUCUGCACGUCCAUGUGGCUCUCCAUCCCAGAAGGUGGUCUAUGUGUCUUCAAAGGUUGCCUAACCUUGCAUUAUUUUCAGCCUCUGUGGAGCUCCUACAGACAUCGGAGGCAGGGCUCCCUUCCGAGGACUGGCUUUUACCAUUAAACCAAGAUUGCAAGAUGAAAACCUGUUAUGUAACGAUUGCAGAAGGAGGAAGAAAGGCGUUGAUAUCUUUUGCUUUAAAAGGAUUAAAGGCAGUGCACGAACAUCGGUGCCUGCAACCUUCCUGCCGGUGAGUGUCAUCCCUGGAGCUCAACUAAUCCGUGAAUCCAAUGCCUUCCUGCGGGUAAGGGCUGAGAUGGUUGCUGCCAUGCAGCACAGCUUAGGGUUUUGGAAACGUGAAAGGGGCAAGGAUAAGCCUCCAGCCCAGAGGAUAUUGUGGUCCUGAAAAUGUGUCACUCUUUGGGAUUUUCUUAGUUUUAUGUAGCAACUUCCCUGCGGCCUGAAAAGAUCAUUGAGAAAUUAUUUCAAGGGUCUCAGCGUUUACCUGAAGAAAACCUUGUCAUCCAACGCCUCCGCCGAGGAGAGGGACUCGGAGUCGUGUUUUUCCGGAAGGAUGGAGGCAGAGUGUUGUUGAAUGAAAGGCGGCUCACUCAGGGACCCCGGCCCAGGUUCUGACUUGGCUCUUGCAAUCUUAGAAAUGCCGUCUAACUUCUCUGGGUUUUGGUUUCAUUAUAAAUACAAUAAAUUGAUGUCUAAAGUUUCUUUUAGCUAUAGAAUUCAAUGCUGUGACUUUUUAUUAAUUUAUCGAGUUAUACAAUAAACCACAUUAAGUACCUUAAUAUUGAAUGUACAUAUCACUGAAUUAUUGUCUGUGGAUAACCACCAUUUAGGUCAAAAUGUAGCACAUUUCAGGAAGUGAUUCUCAUAUUCCUUCUCAGGGCAACCUGUCAGUGCUACCCACAGGCAACAAAACAUCCACUUGUAUUCCGGGGUUACUGUCCUGUGAUCCUGUCACUAUCAUAUGAAAUACAGUGCCAAAGUUAGUUUGUAAUUUUACGAGAGUUAACAGCAGUCACCACUUAGUAAAAUAUGCUGCCCAUACCAG
rnacentral:lncRNA from 1 species